GACGAACGCUGGCGGCAUGCUUAACACAUGCAAGUCGAACGGAAAGGCCCUGCUUUUGUGGGGUGCUCGAGUGGCGAACGGGUGAGUAACACGUGAGUAACCUGCCCUUGACUUUGGGAUAACUUCAGGAAACUGGGGCUAAUACCGGAUAGGAGCUCCUGCUGCAUGGUGGGGGUUGGAAAGUUUCGGCGGUUGGGGAUGGACUCGCGGCUUAUCAGCUUGUUGGUGGGGUAGUGGCUUACCAAGGCUUUGACGGGUAGCCGGCCUGAGAGGGUGACCGGCCACAUUGGGACUGAGAUACGGCCCAGACUCCUACGGGAGGCAGCAGUGGGGAAUAUUGCACAAUGGGCGGAAGCCCGAUGCAGCAACGCCGCGUGCGGGAUGACGGCCUUCGGGUUGUAAACCGCUUUCGCCUGUGACGAAGCGUGAGUGACGGUAAUGGGUAAAGAAGCACCGGCUAACUACGUGCCAGCAGCCGCGGUGAUACGUAGGGUGCGAGCGUUGUCCGGAUUUAUUGGGCGUAAAGGGCUCGUAGGUGGUUGAUCGCGUCGGAAGUGUAAUCUUGGGGCUUAACCCUGAGCGUGCUUUCGAUACGGGUUGACUUGAGGAAGGUAGGGGAGAAUGGAAUUCCUGGUGGAGCGGUGGAAUGCGCAGAUAUCAGGAGGAACACCAGUGGCGAAGGCGGUUCUCUGGGCCUUUCCUGACGCUGAGGAGCGGAAGCGUGGGGAGCGAACAGGCUUAGAUACCCUGGUAGUCCACGCUGUAAACGGUGGGUACUAGGUGUGGGGUCCAUUCCACGGGUUCCGUGCCGUAGCUAACGCUUUAAGUACCCCGCCUGGGGAGUACGGCCGCAAGGCUAAAACUCAAAGGAAUUGACGGGGCCCCGCACAAGCGGCGGAGCAUGCGGAUUAAUUCGAUGCAACGCGUAGAACCUUACCUGGGUUUGACAUGGAUCGGGAGUGCUCAGAGAUGGGUGUGCCUCUUUUGGGGUCGGUUCACAGGUGGUGCAUGGCUGUCGUCAGCUCGUGUCGUGAGAUGUUGGGUUAAGUCCCGCAACGAGCGCAACCCUUGUUCACUGUUGCCAGCACGUUAUGGUGGGGACUCAGUGGAGACCGCCGGGGUCAACUCGGAGGAAGGUGGGGAUGACGUCAAGUCAUCAUGCCCCUUAUGUCCAGGGCUUCACGCAUGCUACAAUGGCUGGUACAGAGAGUGGCGAGCCUGUGAGGGUGAGCGAAUCUCGGAAAGCCGGUCUCAGUUCGGAUUGGGGUCUGCAACUCGACCUCAUGAAGUCGGAGUCGCUAGUAAUCGCAGAUCAGCAACGCUGCGGUGAAUACGUUCCCGGGGCU
rnacentral:rRNA from 1 species